AACGAACGCUGGCGGCAGGCUUAACACAUGCAAGUCGCGCGGUCAGCAAUGGCAGCGGCGGACGGGUGAGUAACGCGUAGGAAUGUAUCCAGAGGUGGGGGACAACCCCGGGAAACUGGGGCUAAUACCGCAUAUGUGCUGAGGCACAAAGCAGUAAUGCGCCUUUGGAGCAGCCUGCGUCCGAUUAGGUAGUUGGUGGGGUAAUGGCCUACCAAGCCUGCGAUCGGUAGCUGGUCUGAGAGGACGAUCAGCCACACUGGGACUGAGACACGGCCCAGACUCCUACGGGAGGCAGCAGUGGGGAAUAUUGGACAAUGGGCGAAAGCCUGAUCCAGCCAUGCCGCGUGAGUGAUGAAGGCCCUAGGGUUGUAAAGCUCUUUUGUGCGGGAAGAUAAUGACGGUACCGCAAGAAUAAGCCCCGGCUAACUCGUGCCAGCAGCCGCGGUAAUCUGA
rnacentral:rRNA from 1 species